CACACCAGAUGUUCUUGACGUGACGUUUCCUGACAUCAACCCAAAAUCACUUCAGGUCCCAACCCUAAAAUCAUCAGAACUCCAAUCCCGUUCCAAGAGAUUCAGCCAUAAAUGGAACCAUCACCGGUGGAGACUCAGGGCCAAAUGGAAAUGGACUCUGUUUCCUGAGGAAAAGUAGACGCCACUGGCUUCCUCUACUUUCACUCUCCCGUCACCUUCAGCUGCAACAGGCGCACAAAGCCGGGCAGCACCACCCACCUCCGCCUGACUUACUGUACUGUAAUGAUUUAAACUGAAUUGAUAUGGAAACCUGUUCCACGAGUUUGUGAAAGUAAAAGCCUCGAGAACAGAUCAUGACAGUCCAACAAAGAUGUCUCUUGACAAUGGAAUGUCAGUGUAAGACAGUCAUUUUUUGGCUAUUUUUUCCCCUUUCUUUUUAAUUAUUUAAAGCAAUUUUAAUAUGUUUCAUUGUUUUGUAUGGAUUAAAUUUAGCUGCAUCUGGUCGGUCCUUCUAUAAACAAAGAUGUUAUUUAUUUAAAUGUAUUUAUUUGAUUUAUUUAGCUACAUCCUAACUUGACCAAACUAAUUUGUCAUAGUGUUCAUGAUUUGGAGUAUUUUUCAGUAAAAUUUCAUGCUUUUUCUCACAUUUAAAUAAUGUGGACUAAAUAUGAAUAUCGUUUAAACCAAUUUUUAAGAGGACUUUUUUUAGAUAACAGCCAAUUAACAUAAAUUUAACGAAU